rfam:Rattus norvegicus chromosome 4, whole genome shotgun sequence.
GGGGAUUUAGCUCAGUGGUAGAGCGCUUGCCUAGCAAGCACAAGGCCCUGGGUUUAGUCCCCA